rnacentral:lncRNA from 1 species
AAUAAUAAUCUUAGGUUAGGAUAUUUGUUCCAUUUUUGAAAUGGGAGUCUUUUUUUUAUUAUUAUUUCUGAUUCUCUUGAUCCAAAUUGGAAUGUGAACAUACCAAUACGAUGUAUUCACGAGCUAAAUUUCGAAGUUUCAAGAACUCUGCUUGAACUCUUAAUAUGAAGAUAAAAAAAGAAAAUGAUGCAUCGAGCCCUGUUCCAUUGCGAAUGAGAUAUUGUUGACCAGAAAGAACUCUAUUAAUAGCACACAUGUAACAAACUUCAUCGACCCUAAGGAAGAAAACAAGUAACAAUAAGAAAUCGCCUUUUUGUGAGCGGAACUAGCAUGUUUGGGACAAAGCGAUAUGUUAUCAGAUAAUUUUAUUGAGAAUAACGAGAGCAUCUCUAAAUACUCAAAGUUUCAGGCCUGGCACUAUUUUGAACACGGCCCUGCUUUUUUUUUAUUUUUGGGUCUACGCCCAACCAAUGGGACAAUUUUGGUGUUCAAGCAUGCUACAUUUUA